CCAAGUCUUGCAUUUUGUGCUUACAUUUUGCUAGACCUACACCCGUCAAUCACUACUAGAUCCAUCAGUCUUAGGUUUUAUCGUCGAUUGUAGGAAAUGUCUAGUGCGUCAAGUAAUCAGUUAGUAGUUCAUGACGGGGCAGAAUACGAGGAAGUAUACCUAUCGACACAACUUGGGGAGUAUUACAUUCAUCUCGUAGACGGCGCCCACAAGUUAGUAUUGAGGAGUUUAGCUUUCUCGAGAAGAUUUUUCAGAAGACCAAGUUGGAAGAGAGGACUUGGGCAAAGUUGGUAAACCCAAACACUAUUUAUUGGUAUUGUGACGGUCCUGAACCCACUCCUGAAGCUGUUAGAUAUAACGAAAGAAUUCACAAACGUAAGUCCGUCAACCUUUAUUUUAUUUAAACAACUUCAACUUAGUUUAUGACUUUAUCCGUCCUUCUUUGCAGAGAUGGACGAUGCUAAGAGGAGGGCUCUGAUAAAGGCACAGGUUGCCAAAAGAAAAGAGUCCGACGAGGUGGUUCCCAAGGGGAUGGCUCCAUCGAUAAAAAGAAAGCCUCCGUCCAAAUCUGACCGUCCAUAAAAGAAAUAGAAAGUUUCUCUGGAACCCGUCGUCGGGUUAAUGGCUGAGGGUGCGAAGACCAUCACCCCAGUAAAGCAUGGGUCCGACAAAGGUUUGAUGAAGGCCCCGUCCACAAGCCAAGAGAAGCCUCCUCCUCUAAUUCGCCUUGGAAAAGCUUUCUUCUAUAAUCUCGUUUGAGGAUUACGAGGAUUUGGGUAAUCACUCGACAGAGGCGAUGGGGGAGACGGGUCUCUUUGCUGUCGUACAGGAAAUGUUUAUCCAUCGGUUUACGCCCGUCCACUCUACUUUGUUUUUCUCUAACACUCUUAACUUGUUUGUUUCAGUCCUUGGUCAUGAUGAAGGGUCUAAUGGACCGGUGCCUUAACCGUGAGGCGGCUCUGGAACUUGUUCGAGCAAAGGCGGAGCAGACGGAAAGUGAGCUGAGUCAACUUAGCAAGUGGAAGUCCACUAUGGAGAAAAAGUUUGACCUUUCAGAACAGGUAAGGAAAGAGCUUGAGCAAAAGACGGAUGAGGCUGGGAAGGCCCUGGAGAUCAAAGAAAAGGAAAUCCAAGACUUGAAGGAAAAGCUCUGUCAAGCUAAGGAGGUAGCGGUCCGAAAAUACCGUGAUUCCGAUGCCUUACUAAGCGAGCUGGGGGGGCUCGUUCCUUUAAGGUUUUGAUGAUGCGCUCCGUCAAGUUAAGAGAGCCUACCCUGAACUGGACGUGUCAAUGAUAAAUUUCAAUGACCAAGACCAGACGUCUGCUUUGCUCGUCGCCUCAGAAAACACAGACAGCCUCUUUGCUGAGGAGGCAGUUCAAGGUGACGGAGAAUCAGCUCUAGCAAAAAAUGUUCAAGAUGCCGACCCGAAAAUGUAAAAGUUUUUAUAUAUUAUUAUUUAUUUAUUUAUUUAUUUUUUGAGAAUGAUCCGUCCUUAAUUUUGUGUAUUAAACAAUUACCCUCUGAGGGUUUUAUCCAUCGUUAUUGCAUUUUGUAAUUUUAUGCUUGCUAUAUCAAUCUUUAUUAUUUUUUGAA